UACGGAGGGGGCGAGCGUUAUUCGGAAUUAUUGGGCGUAAAGGGCGCGUAGGCGGCCUUGUAAGUCAAAGGUGAAAUCCCUCGGCUCAACUGAGGAACUGCCUUUGAAACUGCAAGGCUUGAGGCCGGGAGGGGGUAGCGGAAUUCCCGAUGUAGCGGUGAAAUGCGUAGAUAUCGGGAGGAACACCAGUGGCGAAGGCGACUUCCUGGCCUGUUCUUGACGCUGAGGCGCGAAAGCUAGGGGAGCAAACGGG
rnacentral:rRNA from 1 species